rnacentral:rRNA from 1 species
UACGAAGGGGGCUAGCGUUGCUCGGAAUCACUGGGCUUAAAGGGCGCGUAGGCGGCGGGUCGAGUCCGGGGUGAAAGCCCCCAGCUUAACUGGGGAAGGGCCUCGGAGACUGGUCCGCUCGAGGGAGGUAGGGGUCGCGGGAACUUCCGGUGGAGCGGUGAAAUGCGUUGAUAUCGGAAGGAACGCCGGUGGCGAAAGCGCGCGACUGGACCUCUUCUGACGCUGAGGCGCGAAAGCCAGGGGAGCGAACGGG